rnacentral:tRNA from 1 species
AAGUAGCGUAGUUGGUAGCGCGCCGGCUUGUGGUCCUCGAGACCCUGGUUCGAGCCUG